rnacentral:lncRNA from 15 species
AUGCCAGGAUCUGACUCUCAGAGUUGUAGUUUUACCCUCAGACAGACGCAGAGCCGACGGAAACAUCAGUUCACAUUCAACUGCAGAGGAAAGACAAAAGUUCAACCAGCCAGGACACGGCAACAACUUUCUGGGCAGACUUCUGUAAACGGCCAAUUAGCAAAGCUGGAAGCUUCCAAUUACUCUCUUAACUGAGCUCUGUUUGUUGCAUUUGUGUGUGUGGAAGGAGCGUAAUUAUAUGCACAUCGCAUGCAGGUGCAAGGCUAUUGGAAAACAGCAACGAUGAGAAGAGUAACACCUGCACACUGACUCCCAACAACCACAAAUUUAUUCAAAUCCAAGACUGAUCUUUGUCAGGUCAAAAUGUUCAUUAUGGUGCGAACAGCCGUAAACUGCAGUGCAGGCUGUAUGGGGACAGGUGUGGACCUUAACCACAUCUGUUACCAAAGUUUAUCAGCCUUUCUGUCUAUUAGCCGACAUAAAUGUGUGGUCUGCAGUCGGUGUGUGCAGGUGUGACUCUUUUAUUGAUGCAUUUGUGCUUUCUGGAAUCUGCGUGUGAUUGAAAUUGUUAAGGGUCUUGUUUUUGUUUUCCACAUUUUAAAUAGCAUCUACAGAUUACACAUUUUAACACGUUAUUUCCUCCAUGAAGUCAUCGGCAUUAAUAUAGCUUAACUAACAUGCUAGCAUUAGCUUUAUUAAGGGACAUUCAGCAACAGUGUUAUUUUUGGUUUGUAAUUGAUUUUGGAUGUUGCUCGCUACUUGGUUCGCUAAUGACAAAGCAAAAAACGAAUUAGCAUAACAUUAAAAAACACAAUUUAAUGUUUGGAAUCUCACUUCAUUGUUUAAUGUGUGAAUCAAAUAACGAGAAAUUGGCCAAAUGUUUCUUUAAUUAUGAUGGGUUCAAUCUAACUUAACUCCAUUAACAACUUUAUAUGCUAGCCACAUUAGCUUUAUAUCAUGUAUAUGUAAUAAAUGUACAUUCAGUUACAUAGUUCUUAUUGGUUGUUUGGUUUUUCGAUGGUUGGCUAGUUAAUUACCAAAUGUUUAUCAACUGCAUUAACAAUAUUUUAUAUUGUUUUUUUAGCCACAUUAGCCAAACUAACCUGCUUACAUAAAGAGAUAAAACUUUAGCAUCAAGAGUUAUAUUGCAGAUAUACAUUCAGUGACAGUGUUGCUAUGUUGUUUUUGUUAUUUAAUUGUUU